rnacentral:rRNA from 1 species
UACAGAGGUCUCAAGCGUUGUUCGGAUUUAUUGGGCGUAAAGGGUGCGUAGGCGGCUCGGUAAGUCGGGUGUGAAAUCUCGGAGCUUAACUCCGAAACUGCAUUCGAUACUGCCGUGCUUGAGGACUGGAGAGGAGACUGGAAUUUACGGUGUAGCGGUGAAAUGCGUAGAUAUCGUAAGGAAGACCAGUGGCGAAGGCGGGGCUCUGGACAGUUCCUGACGCUGAGGCACGAAGGGCGGGGGAGCAAACAGG